rnacentral:rRNA from 1 species
AUCUUGGGAAAUUUCAUCGUGAUGGGGAUAGAUCAUUGCAAUUGUUGGUCUUAAACGAGGAAUGCCUAGUAAGCGCGAGUCAUCAGCUCGCGUUGACUACGUCCCUGCCCUUUGUACACACCGCCCGUCGCUCCUACCGAUUGAAUGGUCCGGUGAAGUGUUCGGAUCGCGGCGACGGGGGCGGUUCGCCGCCCCCGACGUCGCGAGAAGUCCAUUGAACCUUAUCAUUUAGAGGAAGGAGAAGUCGUAACAAGGUUUCCGUAGGUGAACCUGCGGAAGGAUCAUUG